UCCACGCCCUAAACGAUGCACACUAGUUGUUGCUAUGCUAGACAUAGCAGUAAUGCAGUUAACACAUUAAGUGUGCCGCCUGGGGAGUACGGUCGCAAGAUUAAAACUCAAAGGAAUAGACGGGGACCCGCACAAGCGGUGGAGCAUGUGGUUUAAUUCGACGAUACGCGAAGAACCUUACCUGGUCUUGACAUAGUAAGAAGAUUUAAGAGAUUAGAUUGUGUCUGCUUGCAGAAACUUAUAUACAGGUGCUGCACGGCUGUCGUCAGCUCGUGUCGUGAGAUGUUGGGUUAAGUCCCGCAACGAGCGCAACCCUCGUGAUUAGUUGCUAACAGUUCGGCUGAGAACUCUAAUCAGACUGCCUACGCAAGUAGGAGGAAGGUGAGGACGACGUCAAGUCAUCAUGGCCCUUACGACCAGGG
rnacentral:rRNA from 1 species